rnacentral:rRNA from 1 species
GUCCACACCGUAAACGAUGGAUACUUGUUGUUGGAGGUAUUGACCCCUUCAGUGACGCAGUUAACACGGUAAGUAUCCCGCCUGGGGAGUACGGUCGCAAGAUUAAAACUCAAAGAAAUUGACGGGGGCCCGCACAAGCGGUGGAGUAUGUGGUUUAAUUCGAUGCAACGCGAAGAACCUUACCUACUUUUGACAUGUACUGGAAGACUGGCAGAGAUGUCGUCGCUCGCAAGAGCCGGUACACAGGUGCUGCAUGGCUGUCGU